rnacentral:tRNA from 1 species
GGGGGUGUAGCUCAGUUGGUAGAGCGCUUGCAUGGCAUGCAAUAGGUCAGGGGUUCGAUUCCCCUCAUCUCCA